GUGCUUACUUCAGCAGCAUAAAUACAAAAAUUGGAAUGAUACAGAGAAGAUUAGCAUGGCCCCUGUGCAAGGAUGACAUGCAAAUGCAUGAAGUGUUAAAAAAAGAA
ensembl:snRNA U6 U6 spliceosomal RNA